GAUGAACGCUAGCGGCAGGCUUAAUACAUGCAAGUCGUGGGGCAGCAGGGGUGUAGCAAUACAUCUGCUGGCGACCGGCAAACGGGUGCGUAACACGUACGCAACCUUCCCGUUACUGUGGCAUAGCCCAGGGAAACUUGGAUUAAUACCACAUAUUAUAUAGAGAGGGCAUCCUUUUUAUAUCAAAGCUUCGGCGGUAACGGAUGGGCGUGCGGUUGAUUAGGUAGUUGGCGGGGUAACGGCCCACCAAGCCUACGAUCAAUAGCUGAUGUGAGAGCAUGAUCAGCCACACGGGCACUGAGACACGGGCCCGACUCCUACGGGAGGCAGCAGUAAGGAAUAUUGGGCAAUGGACGAAAGUCUGACCCAGCCAUGCCGCGUGAAGGAUUAAGGUCCUCUGGAUUGUAAACUUCUUUUCUUUGGGGCGAAAACCAGCUAUUCUUAGCUAUUUGACAGUACCAGAGGAAUAAGCACCGGCUAACUCCGUGCCAGCCGCCGCAGUAACAC
rnacentral:rRNA from 1 species